UAAUAACGACGCGUUAGGGAUAGCAGCGGCAUCCCAUGUAGUAGUGUAAACUCACUACAUGGAUAUAGCGCAUAGCCCGCUCGAAC
rnacentral:sRNA from 1 species